CUAGUUCUAUUUUGAACGAUGGAAAAAAUGACAAGACAAAUCUUAGGGUUAGUUGGUUACAGCCCACUGAAAAAAAAAUCGUAGGGAUAAGGUAUUCGUGUGGUCAUCCUUCCGGGAAGACCAAGACAAAUCUUGAAAGGCGGCGGCCAAGUUUGCAGUACCUAAUGCGCAAUCAUAUGUUGCUAUAAAAGAAAUGAAACGAAGAACGUCUAUACCUGGUCAUUGAUAGAAGGUUAUCUGAUUCAAUGGUUCACAAUAAGAAAGCUUGCGACGCUGUCUACUUGAUUCCCUUAAUUUUCUUAUUGCUAUUAUUAUCGUUUUCGUCACAGAUGGCAGUUGCCAGAGUUUCCAAGUUUUCGAGCAGCAAGGAAAUGAUCAUCGAGGCAAAGAUACAACGAAAUUUCGUUAAAUGCUCGCUGAGGGGAGCACAACCUUGUAACCCAAACCCCCCAGGUAGUGAAGAAAGAGCACAUCAGGGCGGCGGGUGUGAACCACAUUGUAAUUGAGCCACGUACGACUAUUCCGGAGAACGAUUUCGUAUUUAGGUCCAACAAAAUAGCAAUUACAUCUUAGCUCCCAAUACCCAAGUAUCACAGUCAACUUUCUGCCGUUAAUUAAUAUCAUCUAUAAUAUUAUUGUUUUUAUUUAAGGAAAGAGAGGUCACCUACUGUGUUGUAAGAUAAUUACUCUCUCUAAUCUUUUAGUGUAUAUUGUCAUAAUUAAUAUAUAUUAGUCUAGAUAAGAAAUGAUAUAUAACGUCUUAUUUUAUGGGAUACUUGAUGUAAUGCUUAUAUAAACGUAUUCUUAUCAAUGAAUAAAGAUGAUAAUUCUCUCUA